rnacentral:rRNA from 1 species
UACGUAGGGGGCAAGCGUUGUCCGGAAUUAUUGGGCGUAAAGGGUGCGUAGGCGGCGCGGUAAGUCGGGUGUGAAAUCUCGGGGCUUAACUCCGAAACUGCAUUCGAUACUGCCGUGCUUGAGGACUGGAGAGGAGACUGGAAUUUACGGUGUAGCGGUGAAAUGCGUAGAUAUCGUAAGGAACACCGGUGGCGAAGGCGCCGCUCUGGGCCGAAACUGACGCUGAGGAGCGAAAGCAUGGGUAGCAAACAGG